rnacentral:rRNA from 1 species
AUUGAACGCUGGCGGCAGGCUUAACAAAUGCAAGUCGAGCGAGCGGCGGACGGGUGAGUAAUGUCUGGGAAACUGCCUGAUGGCGGGGGAUAACUCCUGGAAACGUUAGCUAAUACCGCAUACCAUCAGAUGUGCCCCGGUGGGAUUAGCUAGUAGGUGGGGUAAUGGCUCACCUAGGCGCCGGUCCCUAGCUGGUCUGAGAGGAUGACCAGCCCAACGGGAACUGAGACACGGUCCAGACUCCUACGGGAGGCAGAAGUGGGGAAUAUUGCACAAUGGGCGCAAGUCUGAUGCAGCAAUGCCGCGUGUGUGAAGAAGGCCUUCGGGUUGUAAAGCACUUUCAGCGAGGAGGCGGUACUCGCAGAAGAAGCACCGGCUAACUCCGUGCCAGCAGCCGCGGUAAUAC